GCGUCAGUUCGUACUGUGAAGCAUCCUGUAAGUCAGGCAACGAGCGAGACCCACGCCAACAGUUGCCAGCUCGUCCUCCGGGAUGGUGGGACACUGUUGGGACCGCCUCUGCUAAAGAGGAGGAAGGAAUGGGCAACGGUAGGUCAGCAUGCCCCGAAUUAUCUGGGCUACACGCGGGCUACAAUGGGUGGGACAAUGGGUAUCGACACCGAAAGGUGAAGGCAAUCUCCUAAACCCAUCCGUAGUUCGGAUUGUGGGCUGCAACUCGCCCACAUGAAGCUGGAAUCUGUAGUAAUCGUGUCUCAAAAUGGCACGGUGAAUAUGUCCCUGCUCCUU
rnacentral:rRNA from 1 species